GAAUUCUUCAGUUGGAACAGACAACCAAUGGCAUGGAACCUUCACCAUCAUGUCUACAAUCUGACAGUGGAAACGAAUGUUGAGCUGUGGUCUACAUGGUCACAUGGACUUAAGAGUACCCCUCACAUAGGGCACUCUUUCUGGGUGGAGCUCAGGGAGAUUGAACUGGGGACUACUUGCUACAAUUGGAAAUAAGGCUGAAUAACUAUCAUUCAAUACCUACAAUCAUCUCUGUGAUGAAGGUAGAUUUCUAGGUUGCUUAUCAAAGUCUUGAAA
rnacentral:lncRNA from 1 species